UACGUAGGCAGCGAGCGUUGUUCGGAAUUACUGGGCGUAAAGAGUGUGUAGGCGGUGCUCUAAGUUCGGUGUGAAAUCUCCCGGCUUAACUGGGAGGGUGCAUUAGAAACUGGAAUGCUAGAGGAUGGGAGAGGUAAGCGGAAUUCCUGGUGUAGCGGUGAAAUGCGCAGAUAUCGGGAAGAACACCCGUGGCGAAGGCGGCUCUCUGGGACGGUACUGACGCUGAGACGCGAAAGCGUGGGGAGCGAACAGG
rnacentral:rRNA from 1 species